rnacentral:lncRNA from 1 species
GCCAGGAGGCCCACCCAGCAUGGGGCAGGGCAGGGCAGUGUCUGCCCUUAAACCUUCUGUUACUCAUUAAGCUGCCUGGAGUCAUGCAGGAAACUGGAGGCUGAGGUGAGCAUUUGGCCUGGAUCCACUGGUCCAGACCACUCCCUGGUGGCAUCCACAACACCCAUUCCUGGACCGGGUCAGUGCUUAUUCCUCAGAGCAGCCCUGGGUUUGGGGCUGGCUCAGCCGUCAGGAGGGUGGGCCCCAGGAUGCCUUCCCUCCACAGGCACCAGGAUCAGAGGAGCUCACUCCUGCCCACGAUGGGCGUCUUACCAGACACGGUUAGAUCUGGAUGCUUCUGUCUAAUACUGUCUGGUAAUGCCGUCCAUCUACGGCCUGGUCACCGCUGGAGCAGAACCCCCAGCCCCAUGGGACCCUCACCGGACACCAGGCAAAGACUGAGGCCUGUGACCCAUCUGGCACAGCUGCCCAGGCCCCCAGGACCCUGCUGCCUCCCCUAACCCCAUGGUGGCUUUGUUGGCAUGACCAAGGGUUUUAGGUGUGGAGACCUGCAUCUGCUGCCCUCAGGAGCACAGCCACACCGAGGGUCACUGAGGACAGUCACCCGGCCCUGCACAAGUGGAGGCCAGGGGCCUAACAAGGACCCAGAAGAAGCCCUGCCCAUGACCCUGACGCAAGCAUGGGGGAAAGGACACGUGGGCAGGGAGGGAAAGUCUGUGGCUCACCGUGGGGCAGCACCAGGACCCAGUGACCCCUGGGAGGUGCCAGAGGCAGGCCCUGGGGAUGGGGAAAUGGGCCACCCCCCAGGCCUCAGCUUGGGGGUCCCACACAUUCACAUCCAGGGCUGAGGUGGUUGGGGCCAAUGCCAGGGGCCAGGGCCGAUGACAAUGACCAUGGCUGGGUAAACAGGUGCACAGUUGUACAACCCCUGUCCACAAAGCUGACAACUGGGGCAGCUUUGAACUGGCUCGUGAGUGAUGCUAGUUUGCUGUGACCUCCCCUGGGAAUGUGGUAUGCAGAUCGCUUGUGAGACCUCAGCCCUGGACCCAAACACACAAACCCUGGUAUGGCCAGUGCUCAGGCUGGCUGGUGGCACCCCGCACACCCCACCCCAUCCCGGCCUGGACGCUAAUCCUGCUCCUGUCCUCAUGGGCCUCCUUUGUCCCGGUGGUGAUGAAGUUGGUCUCUCUUGGGGGCCACUCUGCUCAUAAACAAGGAACCCUGGCACGUAGCUGGCUUCACCCUCCCAGAGCAGCUUCCACCUGACUGCUCUGGACUGUGAGCCAGGCCCCUCUGGUGGAGGCGCCUGAAGGUGUGGGCUUCUCCUAGUCCUGGCCUGGCUCAUUGUGAACAAAAAAGUCUGUAUGGCAAUAAACUCUGAUUCCUGAAAGCAAGCAGACUCUGACCACCUCCUUGUCACUAGUACAGCGACCCACAGCUUUGCACAGGGCUGGGAGAUGCCCCCCUCGGUCUUUCCUGGCUCAGUUCAGUUCUGGUCCCAGGGAAGCCCCGGAGCAGGAAGGACAGGACACAGUUCUGAUGGGGACAGCAGAGCAGAUUUCUGAGUCAGAGCUCUGAACCCAGGACCUAGGAAAGGUGGGCAUCUGCCCAAGCCAUGGCCUGGCAAGAAGCUCCUGGGGGCAGUGCUGGGGGACCCUGAAGGCUGUGCUCCCAGCAGGGGAGAGGCUGCCGUGGGUGGUGUGCGCCGCAGCUUCAACGCUCUCCGUGGCCACCACACAAGUGGCACAAGUGCUCUGGAAGGCAAGCUGCCGUCCCUGGCCAGGCCUGGCCCUGAUAUAGGUUGAGAAGGUCAGCACCAAAGUGGGGCCUGGCACUCCCGCCCUCCCUCCCUCCGGCCAGCAUGAGGACGCCCUCUGCUCUGGCCGCCAGACGGACUGUGGCUGCCUGGGCAGAGGGUCAGAUGGCUGGGUGCAGCAAGAUAGCCCAAAGGCCCUCGGAUGGGUGGGGCCGGCAACAGGAACCGACCCCACCCAGGGAACCAGUGAGGGUGGGGGUUUUCCACAGGAGGGUGGCUCUCCAGCCCAGCCAAGCCUUGCGAAAUGCCCCCUUCUGACAGCUCAGGGAAGAGCCACACGGGGUGUGGCCCAGGGCAGCCAGCUUCUGGGUGGGCAAGGAAGCCCCAGAGCAGCCAGUGCUGUGCAGGACCCUGGAAGGAGAGCAGAGGGCCCCUGUGGGAGCUCCUGCAACAAGGUGCUGACAUGUGUUUCUCUUCUUGAACAUUUUCUUCGGGUUUAACAGCAUCUGUCUGUCGAGCCAGAGUGAUUUCCCACCAGUCUUUAAUCUGAGCAGAAACAGCAAUUGACCAACCUCCGAUGUGAAACUCACUUCUGGAUUUAGAGUCGCGUCCUUCAGAGAGACCCUGGACUUGCAGCUGCCAGAGGAUGCCACCUGGGCGCUGGCAGCAUUCCAGCUCUCCCGACACUGUGCACCGGACCCCGUGUUCCGCACACAGCUGCCAGGGCUCUUUAAAAAGUCUUUGUCCAUCUGAAUGACAAGAAAUGAUAAUAACUCAUGGCUUAUUUAAUUCUUUGUGAAAAUAACAAGCAUCAGAGUUAGAAAAGUCAGCCUUAUAAUGAAGAACAGUGAACCCACACAACCCUUCAGGACAUUUCUUAGCUGUGGCAACAGAGGUGGUGCCGAGAGAGUAGGACAG